AUGGACGUGGCGGAGGACCGGGAUGUUCUGUCCUGGCGCCUCGAGCCCUCUGGACGUUUCUCCACAAAGUCCCUGUACGGCGCCAUUGCGCCCUCGACGGCCCCGGAGCCAUUUAGCCUAAUCUGGGACAUCCGCUUCCCGCUGAAGAUCAUGAUCUUCCUGUGGCAAUGGAUCCGUGGACGCCUCCCCUCUGGGGUUGAGGCCCUCAAGCGUAAUGGCCCGGGUGAUGGGAUGUGCCCCAUCUGUGGCACGAUUGAGGAUGCUAACCACAUCUUUUUCUCGUGCCACUCUGCCCAGUUCCUUUGGGCCUGCUUCCGCGAAACGGUUGGCGGACAGUGGUGUAGAGCUUAA
rnacentral:rRNA from 1 species